rnacentral:rRNA from 1 species
AUAGGCUGGGUGUGGAAGUGCAGUAAUGCAUUAAGCUAACCAGUACUAAUUGCCCGUACGGCUUGUCCCU